UUUCAGUCUCUGCAGCAGCCUGCAUCAGGAGGAUGGGGAACUUCCCAGGGUUAUAUGGGAUUCCACAGUCUCCCAUCUUCCUCCUCAGAGCAGUGCAGCAGUACCAGCCAUCUCUGUAGAUCCCCAGUAUCUAGGCUUUCACAAUGGCACCUAUCUAGAGGUGUUCGGAAUGCCUGUGGAUUCUGUGUACAUUCCCUUUCUGGAGCAACACCUCUGUGCAAUCUCUAGGCAGUGCCCUAUGUUAGGCUCAAGGCUUGUGUGAGUUAUAGAGUUCUCUCAUAGCAAUAUUGUAAAAGCCAGUUUCAGAGUUUGAAGCCCUGGGAUUUUUUCUCUUACUGUCUCCCCAAAUCCAGGAGCCUCUCCUGGCUCUCAUCCAGUCUUUGGCUAGGCAAGCUGUCUUGAACCCUCUCCUUAGUUACUUUUGGUGCUUCUCAUCACUUCUCUGGUGAAUCCUAGCAUUCUCUCCUAGAUGAUAUGUUCAAAAUGUGAGUAUCUGCUUAUUAUUCUGGUUCCUCUUUGUGGAGGCACAUACUACCUAUAGCUAGUCAGCUAUAUUGUUCCUAUCUUUCAUUUUCUAUCUUCUAAUGUAAUAUGAAUAUAUCCCAAUGGGAAAACCUAAUUGUUGUAUUCCACAGCUGAUGAGAGUCUGGGAAAUCCAGUUUUCAGGCCUCCAGCCUUAUUGGUAUAGGGGAGAGCAUAAGGGCUAAUGUGGAGCAAGUUACAACAGAUAUAAUCUGGAAUAGACCUCUUCUGCUACUCUUUAUCAUUUUACCUUUUUAAAAUAUCAUUUAUCACCAUUUGUUUACUGACUAUCUCCCCAUUAGAAUAUAAAUUCUAUAAGAGCAGGGAAUUUGUCUGUCUUGCUUGCUGCUAUAUUCCCAAUAUCAGAACAGUGCCUGGCAUCAGUAGCAUACUUAGUGAGAAGGGGUGGUAGGAGUGGUUUGCCCCAGCAAAGAGGAAUAUUUUAUGUUCACUGAUAUUGUUUAGAAUUGUCAGUACAUGGUGAAAUAAAAAGACUGACUUUUAGUCACUUUUGUUAUUGUUUUCUAAUUUUCUACAGAUAAUAUAUCCUCUUAGCCUAAGGUUAACUUUCUAGCUCUGUUCUCCUGGAAAUUUGAAAAAGAUGAAAUGUGAACUUGUUACUAAGCAACAUUUCUUAUGAUAAAAAUUAUCUCUGCUUGGUAACUUGCAUGUAGACUGGGAGGGACUAUAAAUGAUCUAUAAAUAUCUAAUGGGAAGCCACAGCUUUGGGCUUCCAUAAGUGUGUUGGCAAUUAUAACUAGGUGUUUACUUUGUGGGGACUUUGGAAGCUGUCUAAGAUUGUUAUAAGAAAUAUUAAUUCUUUUAUAGGAUAUGGGGUUUCUAAGUCAGGGUGGCUCCCCAACUCUCCUAGUAUAAGUCUUAUUCUCUUGCAUGUGAGGUGUCACUUGAAGAAAUGGAACAGCUUAUGGACAGCUGUGUGGACUAUUAGGAGGACUAGAUCCACUAAAGAAGAAAACCUCAUGCUGUCCUGCUGGAUGCUGAGUUUUCUGUUCAAUAUCUUUUUAAGUAAACUGGUCCAAGAUCACAUCAUCAUGCUCUACCCUAUGCUGUGGCCCAGAAGGCUGACUUCUAUGGACUAUUUUAACCAGGUUCCUAUCACUCUGGCUUCUGGUUAGGUUCAGCCCAUGAGAGGGACCAACAAGAGAUUAGCAGGAAGAGAAAACCUUGAAGGGGAGCAGAGAGAAGAGGAGAGAAGUGCUUUGGUCUUUCUCUGGUUCUAUUUAAUAAGGUAGUUGCUCUUCUAACCAAUCUUUAUGACUCACUGGAUUGACAGAUGCUCUCUAUUUCCUCUUAAACAUAACAGUGGCCACAGCAUACUUUUUUCUCUUGUAUACUUGUGAAUUACUACUCCAGUAAUCAGUUGAAUUUGUUCCCAAACUUGUUUGUGCCAGUUUGUGGCAAAAGUUGUUACUGAAUAUGUAAUUUAAGUAAAAAUUACACAUACCAAUGAUAUAUGAAUGUGAAAAGAGUUUUUUCCAUAAUAAUUAAAUAAAACCUUUUGAAAACUGCCAUUAAAAAUGCUACUAAAAGGAAAUGCUGUCAAAUUAGGUGUUGGUGAAGCAACUGUAAAAGAGAAUAAAACUAUAAUAAAAAUCUAGAAGGAUUCUAUACUUCUAGGAUUUGCAAGAGUCCUUAAGUUUUUCUUCACUUUAAAGAAACCCAAACUGGAAAUCACCAACAAUGCCUUUUGGGUAUGGUUUAUAUAAGAAAGACCUGAUAGAAAUUCAAAUAUUAAUAACAUACUUAUCAAAAGAGUAGCCUUGACUCCAUUAAAUUAUUGACAAAUAACUGUUCAUUUGUUAAAUUUGUAUUUAUUUUGAAGAUAUAAAAUAAUUUCCCACUUUAACUGAUUGUCAAUUAAAUGGCUAAUUACUGUUCUCAAAAGUAUUAAAUAAAAAGACUUGUACUGUAUUUUCAUUAUAGUCCAUUGUUGCUUCAUUUCUUAAUAGAAAUAUAUAUAUACCUGUUCCUUGGCUAGGUCCCAAAUGAGAAAAUUAAUCUAAAUAAUUAGCUAGAGAUGUUAAAUAAUGUGCUACUUCUAAAUUUCCCUAUUUGUAACACAAGUUGGAGAAAAGUCUGAGAAGAUCAUCUAAAAAUUGUAGUUCUAUUGAGAACACCAUUUUUUUAAUUUUGGAAAAAAGAAUCACCUAGUAACAGGGCUGAAAAUACUUUUGGGGCACGUCUGUGAGACGUACCAACAACACUAAGCUAUAUAUUAGUAGAUGUAGAUCCUUGAAAUUAGGAAAUAA